rnacentral:rRNA from 1 species
GAUGAACGCUGGCGGCGUGCCUAAUACAUGCAAGUCGAGCGAAUGGAUUAAGAGCUUGCUCUUAUGAAGUUAGCGGCGGACGGGUGAGUAACACGUGGGUAACCUGCCCAUAAGACUGGGAUAACUCCGGGAAACCGGGGCUAAUACCGGAUAACAUUUUGAACCGCAUGGUUCGAAAUUGAAAGGCGGCUUCGGCUGUCACUUAUGGAUGGACCCGCGUCGCAUUAGCUAGUUGGUGAGGCAACGGCUCACCAAGGCAACGAUGCGUAGCCGACCUGGGAGGGUGAUCGGCCACACUGGGACUGAGACACGGCCCAGACUCCUACGGGAGGCAGCAGUAGGGAAUCUUCCGCAAUGGACGAAAGUCUGACGGAGCAACGCCGGGUGAGUGAUGAAGGCUUUCGGGUCGUAAAACUCUGUUGUUAGGGAAGAACAAGUGCUAGUUGAAUAAGCUGGCACCUUGACGGUACCUAACCAGAAAGCCACGGCUAACUACGUGCCAGCAGCCGCCGUAA